rnacentral:snRNA from 1 species
GUGGGAGAGAGUUAGCCUUCUUUC